rnacentral:rRNA from 1 species
UACGUAGGGGGCUAGCGUUGUCCGGAAUCAUUGGGCGUAAAGCGCGCGUAGGCGGCCCAGUAAGUCCGUUGUAAAAGUCAAAGGCUCAACCUUUGAAUGUCAGUGGAUACUGCCGGGCUAGAGUCCGGAAGAGGCGAGUGGAACUCCUGGUGUAGCGGUGGAAUGCGCAGAUAUCAGGAAGAACACCGACGGCGAAGGCAGCUCGCUGGGACGGUACUGACGCUGAGGCGCGAAAGCGUGGGGAGCGAACAGG